CAGUAGCCACGGGAAUACGUAGGGUGCAAGCGUUAAUCGGAAUUACUGGGCGUAAAGCGCGCGCAGGCGGAUAGGUCAGUCUGUCUUAAAAGUUCGGGGCUUAACCCCGUGAUGGGAUGGAAACUGCCAAUCUAGAGUAUCGGAGAGGAAAGUGGAAUUCCUAGUGUAGCGGUGAAAUGCGUAGAUAUUAGGAAGAACACCAGUGGCGAAGGCGACUUUCUGGACGAAAACUGACGCUGAGGCGCGAAAGCCAGGGGAGCGAACGGGAUUAGAGACCCGCGUAGUCCCUGUCUCUUAUACA
rnacentral:rRNA from 1 species